AGUCGUGUGAUAAGCACAGAGCCAACUAUUCUUUCGCCUUUUACUAAAGAAUACUGUGUGCUUCUCACUUACAGUGGCAUAUGCCAAUUUUUGGAAGAGUCUUUCUUUUGAAAGGUU
rfam:Glycine soja cultivar W05 scaffold528_45, whole genome shotgun sequence.